UUACAUAUGUUUUUAGUUGGUGUAACUGAAAAAAACCACCUUAAAUGAGCUUGCAUUACAGGUUUGGGCACGACUUGAUCAAGGCCACAGCUGUGUGUUCCGGGGCUCUUGACUGCCUUCUGUCCUUGCUCCUUUCUCCCUCAGACUGGCAGUGUCCUUGACAACAAGGUCCUGCCAGUGUGUGCAGCCAUAUACUCCCUGCUCACUCUUGAAGAGAACAGUAUCAAUUCCCACAGCCGAAGGACAAAAAUCCUUAGCUUCCUGGUGGUAGACCAGAGGUACGGAAAUCCCCAUGACCAGGAAAUGUGGGGCACCGGUUAAACGAGGCCUGUGUUAAUGAACCCAGUCAACAGAAUAUAAUUAAACUACUCGAGAGGCUCCAUAGACACUACAGACAAGGUGAGACCAACCCACAUACACAGCUGCUACUGAAGAGGAUAGAAAUAGGAGGGAAAAAUGGAAACAGCUUCUGUAAAUAAGGAGGGGAAGAGGGGUUGAAGGGAGGGGAGAGGCAUGGGGAAAAAACGAAGCCAGAUAUAUCACGCACAGGUACAAAUUCUCUACGAUGAAUGUUAGCAUUAUUUAUAUCUAAAAUGUACCAAAGAAAUAAAAAAAAUCGCGAAGGUGUCAAUGAAGUGGAGGAAAAGUAUGUCCCAGGGAUCAAGAAGGACUGGGUAGAAGGCUUGGCCUUUGAGCUGCAGAGGAAAGGGGUUGGGGCUGAGUCCGGCCGGGAUGGAGGGUGCCUUGCGAGUGGGCUGGUCACAGGACAGUAAAGGACCCUGCAGACGGAAAUAUGACCGGGAGAAUCCUGUGUGAGAAGCAGCACGGUUGAUGUGCUAGAGACUAAGUAGUCGGUCUAUAAAGGCCCAGGGUACCCGGGAGUAGGGGAGACAGAAGACGGCGGAAUGGAGAAAUCUGGAUAUGGUAUCAGUCGAACCCGGCAGGCAUCAGAUGGUACGACACUCUCAGGCAGGGUAAUUCGGAGAGGGUAAGCGAGGUGAAGCAAGCAGCUGUUUACAAACCAUUGCCUUCCCGAUCCGGAGGAGAACGCGGGAACCAACACCGAGCUACCCGGGACUUUGCCGGGGGUCAGCAAGGAGGAUCUGGGACCUCCGGUGCAGGGACGCUGCCUGCUCUCGGGAGCCUGGCUUGCAGGGGUCUGGGAAACAAUAUCCCAACGUCUCUCCCCUUUGUCAAUACUGGUGGCUUUCAAUCGUUUAACUAAAAAAGGGAAAGGGAGUCCACCGGGACAAUCGCCACAGAUCAGUAUCCUAGAUCCAAGAACAGAGUGAGAAAGAAGUGGGAAUUAGACCCAGAGGAACAAACAGAAAAUACUCGCAGAGAAGGAGGGACAGACGUUUGGGGAACUAACAGAAACUGAUCCUGAGGCUGGAGCGACGCCAGGGGAGGUUUGACGGCUAGGAGCAGUUCUGGCCUCUAGAGGGCAUGCAAGGAUCGCGCUCGCCUUCUACCCACGACCCAAGUAGGAGAAAAAGGGAUGCUGCGGAGGGAAACACUCAAGACAGCUCUUGGCUAGGGGACAGGGCCAGAAGAAAAGGGAUUGCCUCUGGAAUGGGAGCUCACCCCUCUGCACUUAGAUUCAUGGCACUUGGAUUGAUUUUUAAUAAUAAAGCUAAUACUUAGGGUUUAGCAUGUGCUAAGUUCUUGACUCCCAUCCAGCACAGCCCUUUAGUCUAAAGUACCAUCAUAAUUAUGUUUUAAAGAGACGGACGGAGCCUGGAUUUAAACCCACUUACACAGAGCCACUCUCUGCUCCUUUUUGCUCCCAUUCUGCUGGUUUAGCCAACCUAAGAAAACCAGGGCAAGGCCCAUGGAGAAGAGACCAGGGGAUGCUUGCUGGUAGGACUUGUGUUCCUUCAACAAUCUUCAGCGCAUAUUCAGAGACUGAGCACUCACUACCUGCCAGACUCAGAUCGGGGUCCAAGGACACCCAGGUGAACAAGGCAGGAGGCACCGCGGUGCAGGAAGAGCGUGGCUGAGCCCACUGGAGUCCUGGAUCUGCUUUAUACUAUCUGUGAGGCCCAGGAAACGUCACAGAUGUGUGCUGCUGUUCUACCUAAACACCAUCCACCAUUGGAGCUGCUUCGGGAGAGAGAGACAGAGGAACAAGAUCAGUUCUUGGCCAAACGCAAGGGAGCCCAACCAGCCACCCUCCUCCUUCAGCAAGGCCUGAGGCUGUAAGACCAGAAGGACUUCUGGAGGCUUCACUCUGUCCAGCCCAGCUUUUGAGUUUGGGCUCGAAGCUCUAAUUCAGGGCGCUAGCUGGCUCCUUGGAUGUGAAGCUAGGUGUUCCUCCUCAGUGGGGUGAGCCAAGCCUUCGCUCACACAGGCUUCAGGUCCUGAGUGUCCCUGCCUUCCGUGAGUCGCUGCUGUUUCCCAGUCUGAGGAGAGCCCGGAGAUUCUGCCUUUCCAAUAAAGUUCCAGCUGAUGCUGAUGCCAUACUUGUGGGUCACACAGAGCAAAAUUAUAACUCUGUGUUGUCAAUAUGGGAGCCCUCAGACUCAUGCAGCCACUGCAUCCUUGAAAUGUGACUAGUGUACCUGAAAAAUGAAAAUUUCACUGUACAGUGGUACCUCAGGUCAAGAACUUCUUUCCAUGAUUCUGGUUGCAAAAUGAAUUGGAUGAGAACAGAAUCAAAUGUCCCCAUAAGGUCAACAUCGAACCUAACUAUUGAAUUUGAUUCAGUUCUUGUCCAAUUCAGAUUGCUAUCAGAGUCAUGGAAGCAAUUAAGUUUGUGAACCACUGUAAUUUUUAAUUUUAAAAAACUGGAUACUUGGUUCAGUUAUUGGAAAACAAUUUUUAGUGUACUUGGAACAAAUCAUGAAUUUAUCUUUUCUGCUGUUAAUUUUAGGAGAUUUAAAUAACCAAGCAUGCAUUUCCAAUGAAAAUUUGUCUGAAUUGAGAUAUUCUCUUAAGUGUAAAAUAAACAUAUUUUGAAGACUUACUUUUUAUUUUAUUUUAUUUUUUUGGUACCGGGGAUCAUACUGGAGACCUUGCACUUGUGAAGCAGGUGGCAGAACCACUGAGCUAAAUCCCUGGCCCUUGAAGACUUAUUUUUUAAAAAAGGAAUGUACUUAAAAUAUUUUGUUAAUAAAUUGUCUAUCGAUCGUAUAUUGAAUUGUAAUACAGUUCUUUGAAUUGUAAAAUUGUGGAUAUGCUCAGUUAAAACAGAUUAUUAAAAUUGAUUUCUUCUGUCCUUAUUUUUUAAAAAUAUGGCUGGUUGAAAAGUUAAAAUUCCACAUGUGGCUUGCUUUGAGUCUUGCUGGACAAUUCAGAUACAGAGCGGUAAGCCAGGAGCUGGCUUUCCUGUCAGUGUGUUCUUCCUGUCUAGAUUCAGGCGUGGCCUCUGGCUGGGAAGAGGAAGUGAGGCAGUGGAAAGGACAGCUUUCUUGCUUCCCUGCAAGAGGCUGUGGAAAAAACACAACAUGCACAGCAGGUUUGUCAGCUCACAGACUAUUUCUUCAUAGUGGGUUAGUUCCACUCCAUUCCAUGGCAGGCUCUGCUUUUUUUGAGAGGUGCAAAAGACGUGUCAGCAGUCUGGAGGGGACUGCUCAAAGCUGGCUCUCAACACAAGAUGCUCACUUCUUAAGAGUUAAGGGUCAUGGCAAAGGGUUCACUCAACCCAACCUCCUCAGUGACAUGAAGGGAAGUUAACUGAAACAACAUGGGCUCUUGCGAAUGUGCUGCACUGUCUCCUGGCCAACUCAGUAAUUCCAAAGGAGGCUAAAACAUUUCAUGAAGAACAGUAAUGAAGACAUCCGCAAAUCUGACAAUAACCAAGACAUUUGCAGAAAGAAAUAUGCAGAACUUGGAGUUAGUUUCCUCAUACUACAAAUUACAUUAUGGUAACUUCACUCCCUCACUCUUGUAAAAAAACAUUUUUUUUAACCAACUCAGUCAAAUAUUUACAUGUAGAAUCAGAACUGGCAGCAAAUUCAAAGAAAACUAUUAAGACUGGGAAGAGUUGCUUCUGUAUCAGAGGCUUGAGACUCACGGUCUUAAUUAACCUUUCUAAAUAAGAACUGAUGGCCUUGGAUGGAAAAUGUGGGGAGACUAAAAUGUGUUUGAAGAAUGUUUGACUACAAAGUAAAUAGCCUGAAUAAAAAUUAUUAAAUUAGCUGCUGCCUCCACAUUCCAUAAAACUGAAUACACAGUAAAAUGCAUCGUAUAGUCAAAGGCUUGGAUAAAAGAAAUCACGAAACAAUCUGAGUUCAGUGACGAUCCAAACUUCAUGGAAUUAGUUGUUAGAUCUUGAUAUAAAGCUGUUCAGCUGGCAUAAUAUUAGACAUGCUUAUCUCUUUUCCUUUCUGUCACUCAAUCCAUCAGGAAACAUUUAUUAGGUAUAUUCUUCA